GGUUAAGCUACUAAGAGCGCACGGAGGAUGCCUAGGCGCUAGGAGCCGAAGAAGGACGUGGCGAACAACGAAAUGCCUCGGGGAGCCGUAAGCAGGCGCUGAUCCGGGGAUGUCCGAAUGGGGAAACCCGGCUGGGGUAAUGCCCAGUCACCUUGUAGUGAAUACAUAGCUACAAUGGAGGCACACCAGGGGAACUGAAACAUCUAAGUACCCUGAGGAAGAGAAAACAACAGUGAUUCCGUCAGUAGCGGCGAGCGAACGCGGAUUAGCCCAAACCAAGGAGCUUGCUCCUUGGGGUUGUAGGACGUCUCACAUGGAGUUACAAAGGUGU
rnacentral:rRNA from 1 species